GGGCUAGCCUCAAGGUGAGAGAUACGGAGGUAGAGCACUGAAUGUCCUAGGGGGUAUUGCACCUACCGAAGACUAUCAAACUCCGAAUGCCGUCAUCUUAUACUUGGGAGUCAGACUGUGGGUGAUAAGAUUCAUAGUCGAAAGGGCAACAGCCCAGAUCGUCAGCUAAGGUCCCUAAAUGUAAGUUAAGUGGUAAAGGAUGU
rnacentral:rRNA from 1 species